AUGGCCGAAUAGGAACAGCUCCGGUCUACAGCUCCCAGCGCGAGUGACACAGAAGACGGGUGAUUUCUGCAUUUCCAUCUGAGAUCAGGAUUCAUGGUGUUUUCACAGUCAUUGGUGGACAUACUCAGAGCAGCAAAAAUUGGAGUGAAAGGACAAACACAUUCCCAGCAGAGUUCAGACAAGGUGACCUUCUUGUUUCAGCCCUCAUACUGUAUGGGAGAAGGAGUGGUGGAGAAAGAGGGGUGGAUGCAUGCUUGCCUGGGUUGAGCAAAAACAAAACUUCAUUGUCUCAAAAAAAUUAGCAUGCACCUCCUUCUACACGUCACUGUGGUAAGAAGAACACAAUGAGGAUAA